AGACACCUCUCUGCUGGCGUGUUCCUGGGUCCAUGAUGGAAGAAGGAAAAGUAUUUUUAAAAGACAAUCUAAAGCUCACACUGUGACUGCAACAUAAAAUGUGUUCACCUGAGGAGACUGCUUUCACCGUGAGUGUGUCACAGAAGGUCUCUGAUGGUUCUGGUUUCCUGGGCACCUAGAAUAAGUGUGUCAUCAUUUGUUCUGAAGCUGACUUCUCUGAGCUGGAUGGCACCCUGGACAUCAACCAGCCCUUCACCUUCACGUCACACAGGAGGGACACUGGUCCACAGAGAGGAUGCCUGCUCUGGUCACCAGCUGGAGAGUGGCAGACCUUGGGUACCUGACCUUUGGACUCUGCCACGCAGAGCACUUCCUCAGUCCCUCCUGCUGCCCCUGGCAGGGUGGAGCUGGCAGGGCAGCUGAUCCAGGACCGUCCACUUCCAAGCCAGCAGGAGGAUGGAAAAAC
rnacentral:lncRNA from 1 species